rfam:Triticum urartu cultivar G1812 contig525887, whole genome shotgun sequence.
CAACUACUCCCUCUAUCCCAAAUUUCUUGUCUUAGAUUUGUCUAGAUACGGAUGUAUCUAAUACUAAAAUGUGACUUGAUACAUCUGUAUCUAGAAAAAUCUAAGGCAAUAAUUUUGGGAUGGAGGGCGUACUUU